rnacentral:rRNA from 1 species
GACAGGCGAUGAAGGACGUGGAAGUCUGCGAUAAGCUCGGUUAAGCUGACAACAAGCGCUAUAAACCGAGAUUUCCGAAUGGGGAAACCCGACCAUAAGGUCAUCUUUAUUUGAAUACAUAGAAUAAAGAAGCAAACCUAGGGAACUGAAACAUCUAAGUACCUAGAGGAAAAGAAAUCAACCGAGAUUCUCCGAGUAGUGGCGAGCGAAAGGGGAAAAGCCCUAAACUGAAAACCUUUCUAAGAAAAUAUUCUGGAAAGAAUAGCCAUAGAUGGUGAUAGCCCAGUAUCUUAAAGAAGAGUUUUCAUUAAUUGAGUAGAGCGGAGCACGUGAAACUCUGUUUGAACAUGGGGGGACCACCCUCCAAGGCUAAAUACUCGUCUUCGACCGAUAGUGAACCAGUACCGUGAGGGAAAGGCGAAAAGAACCCCGGGAGGGGAGUGAAAUAGAACCUGAAAUCACAUACCUACAAGCAGUCAGAGUCUCGUAUGAGAUGAUGGCGUACCUUUUGUAUAAUGGGUCAGCGACUUAUUCUCAGUAGCAAGGUUAACCGUACAGGGGAGCCGUAGGGAAACCGAGUCUUAACCGGCGUAAGUUUCUGGGAGUAGACCCGAAACCAGGCGAUCUAUCCAUGGACAGGGUGAAAGCAAGGUAACACUUGCUGGAGGCCCGAACCGGGUAAUGUUGCAAAAUUAUCGGAUGAUCUGUGGAUCGGAGUGAAAGGCUAAUCAAGCCUGGAGAUAGCUGGUUCUCUUCGAAAGCUAUUUAGGUAGCGCCUCAUAUGAAUACUCUCGGGGGUAGAGCACUGUUAUGGCUAGGGGGUCGUCAAGAUUUACCAAACCAUGGCAAACUCCGAAUACCGAGAAGUAAUGUAUGGGAGACANACUGCGGGUGCUAACGUCCGUAGUGGAAAGGGAAACAACCCAGACCGCCAGCUAAGGUCCCAAAGUUAUAGCUAAGUGGGAAACGAUGUGGGAAGGCUCAUAGACAGCCAGGAGGUUGGCUUAGAAGCAGCCAUCCUUUAAAGAAAGCGUAAUAGCUCACUGUUCGAGUCGGCCUGCGCGGAAGAUUUAACGGGGCUAAGCUAUACACCGAAGCUGCGGACUUGUUUUUAUUAAGGCAAGUGGUAGGAGAGCGUUCUGUAGGUCGUUGAAGGUAAACUGAGAAGUUUGCUGGAGAUAUCAGAAGUGCGAAUGCUGACAUGAGUAACGUUAAAGGAGGUGAAAAACCUCCUCGCCAAAAAUCCAAGGUUUCCUACGCAACGUUAAUCGGCGUAGGGUUAGUCGGCCCCUAAGGCGAGGCAGAAAUGCGUAGUCGAUGGGAAACAGGUUAAUAUUCCUGUACUGUUUCUAACUGCGAUGGAGUGACGAAGAAGGCUAAAUCAGCCACCUAUCGGAUGGUGGUUUAAGCAUGUAGGGAGAGUUCUUAGGAAAAUCCGGGAACUUAAUUCUGAGGUGUGAUGACGAGCUCUUUUUAAGAGCAUAAGUGAUUGAUGCCAUACUUCCGGGAAAAACUUCUAAGCUUAGGUUAGAUACAACCGUACCCCAAACCAACACUGGUGGAUGAGUAGAGCAUACUAAGGCGCUUGGGAGAACUCAGGUGAAGGAACUAGGCAAAAUAGCACCGUAACUUCGGGAGAAGGUGUGCCCUAAGUCAGUGAACAGACUUGCUCUGGAAGCUAAAAAGGGUUGCAAUAACAAGGUGGCUGCGACUGUUUAUCAAAAACACAGCACUCUGCAAACGCGCAAGCGGAAGUAUAGGGUGUGACGCCUGCCCGGUGCCGGAAGGUUAAUUGAUGGGGUUAGCAAUUUAUGUUGUGAAGCUCUUGAUCGAAGCCCCGGUNGAACGGCGGCCGUUAACNAUAACGGUCCUAAGGUAGCGAAAUUCCUUGUCGGGUAAGUUCCGACCCGCACGAAUGGCGUAACGAUGGCCACACUGUCUCCACCUGAGACCCAGUGAAGUUGAAAUUGCUGUUAAGAUGCAGUGUACCCGCGGCUAGACGGAAAGACCCCGUGAACCUUUACUACAGCUUUACACUGAACUUUGAACCUGUUUGUGUAGGAUAGGUGGGAGACUUUGAAGCUAUCACGCUAGUGAUAGUGGAGUCGUCCUUGAAAUACCACCCUAACAUGUUUGGAGUUCUAACCUCGGUCUGUUAUCCAGACUAGGGACCGUGUAUGGUGGGUAGUUUGACUGGGGCGGUCUCCUCCCAAAGAGUAACGGAG